rnacentral:rRNA from 1 species
GAUGAACGCUGACAGAAUGCUUAACACAUGCAAGUCUACCAAGAAUCACUUCGGUGAGGAAUGGUGGCGGACGGGUGAGUAACGCGUAAAUAAUCUGCCCUUUAGACUGGGAUAUCCUUUGGAAACGAAGGUUAAUACCGGAUAUUAUGAGAUGGACGCAUGUUCAACUUAUGAAAGCUAAAUGCACUAGAGGAGGAGUUUGCGUCCCAUUAGCUAGUUGGUGAGGUAAAGGCUCACCAAGGCCACGGUGGGUAGCCGGCCUGAGAGGGUGAACGGCCACAACGGAACUGAGACACGGUCCUUACUCCUACGGGAGGCAGCAGUGGAGAAUAUUGGACAAUGGACCAAAAGUCUGAUCCAGCAAUUCUGUGUGCAAGAUGAAGGUGUUCGGAUUGUAAAGUGCUUUCAGUAGGGAAGAAAAAAAUGACGGUACCUACAGAAGAAGCGACGGCUAAAUAUGUGCCAGCAGCCGCGGUAA